AGAGGAACUAAGGGCAACGGGGGACUUGAUGUGCAAACCUUACCACCUGUGUUCACACUCACAUACACACAGCACAGGGACACUCACACAGACAGGCCUACAGAGAAGACACACAUACACACACACACACCAGCCAGACACUGCGGGGCACACUGACACACAUGUACACAAAUAUACCCAUACACACAUGCAUAUGCAGGCUCUGAGGGACACGGUGGUUCACACACACACACACACACACACACACACACAGCUAUACACAGAGGUAUAACGCUGGCACACAGGCACACACACACCGAUGAGUAAAUCCAGUGACCCCUAAGCCUGCGUCUCACCCCCUCCUCCGAGCUCAGCCUCUGCCUGUUCUCGGCAGGGCAGCCGGCGGAGGACCGGCAGCGCCAUGCCCAGGCCAGCGGCGCCAGCAGAAGUGCCGCCUGGCUCUCCGGGUGGCAGGAAGUUGCAAGGUUGGGUCUGAGCCAGGGGCCAGCCAGGGAGCCAGGGUCCUGGGCAAUGGACAAAUCUGGAAAGGGUGUCAGGGGUCACACCGGCCCAAUGAGUCAGGAUCCAGUGGCCCAUCAGUUGUCAAUGAUGACGCCAAUGAAGAGGUUGAGGGUGAAGAAGGAGCCGAAGAUGAUGAAGAUGACGAAAUAGAGGAAACUCAGUCCCCGUGACCUGUUCCCCUGCUCAUCUGCUCAGAGGAUUAGAGACACAGACCCAGAAAAGAAGCCAACAGAGUCUUUGAAGCAGCAGGACCCUUGGGACUGGACUCCCGUGCACUGCCAGCGGUGGCCACCCAGGCCAACCUCAUUAUUUCAGGCUGAACUGAAUCUGAGAAUUGUCUGUUUUCAAGGAGAAACCGUUCCAUGACCUCCAGACAAAGUGGGUGGCACAAGCCCGGUGAUGCCCAGGGGAGCUCUACUCCUGGCUGGGGCACCAACCAGCUGCCAGGUCACUUUCACUCUGGUGCGGAGGGGUCCCGGCUCCAGGGGUGGGACGGCCCAGUGCUGGCUGGCCUCUUGCAUGACCAGGAGGGAGCCCCCAGGCUCUGUGCACUGCUGACCUGCAACCAGCUGCUUCAUGGAAGUUCGUCCCUCUAGCGUGGGUUUUGCUCCUAACAGAUGCCCCAACCCCCCACCCCCGCCCCUUGCCUGGGGAAGUCCCAUUGGUCUUGCCCAAACCCCGUAUUUACCUGUCACUUCCGCCCUCAAGGGCCUGAGGGAAGGGUGGGCAGGCUUGGAGUCCUGGGGGGCCCCAGUCUGAGGCUGGGGAGGGACACCUAUAAACCCACAGACCUGCCUUCCUUCCUCUCCUCCUGCCUCGGUGCCCUCAGGGCCCUCCUGGGAGCUGCUGCAGCCUCUGCUGCCCCCAGUGGUGGAAGAGAUGAGCGAAGGAGGGGGCUGAGGGCGGGAAUGGGCACUUGGGCUGGUGUGGGAGGAUGCCUGGGGACCUCCAGACCUGGACCCCUGGUGGUGGCCGGAGUACAGACACCCCCAGCCCCCUUCCAAGCUGUGUCUGCUCCCCCAGUCCUCAGCCCUACUCAGAGCCCCGUUGGCACCCACCCUCAUGCCCUCGAAUCUAGACAGUGCCCUCAGGGGACGCAGAGCCCUGAGUGUCCGCAGGGAUUUGAUGGGUCCCAGCUCCGAGUAGCCCAGCCAGUUGGCCACCAGGCUGAUGAUGGAGACCUGUAAUGGGAGGGGAGGGUGGUCAGGGAGAGCAGGGCCUCAGCCACAAGGACCGCCUGGGAUCUGACUGCGGGGCCGGGGGUGGGGCAGCCUCACAUCCACGAUGAGGAAGUCGAGCCAGCACCAGGCGUUGGUAAAGUACACCUUGAAGCCGUAGGCCACCCACUUGAGCAGCAUCUCCACGAUGAAGAUGUACGUGAAGACCUUGUCGGCGUAUUCCAGGAUGGUCCGGAUGACUCGCCGCUGCUCGAUGUAGAUGUCCUCGAAGGCCUGGGGGCACCAGCAGGGCGGGGUGGUCGGGGCCCAAAGGAGGCCGGGGCAGCAGCCACGUCCCUACCUGCCAGGGGCUGCUGGUUCCCAGGGUUCUGGCACCGGGGCCAGGCGGGGGCAGACUCCCCGUGCCCAUCAUGCAGGUGAGCCAGUGAGUUCCCGGUGGGGAGAAGCCCCUCAGCUCCCCUUCCCCAGGCCUAAUAAUAGUAACCCUCACUGGUCUGUCAGGGGGGUUCACCUUGACACAUCCUGCCCUCCCAACCCCCAGUUCCCAAGGCCUUCCCCACCUGAUCCCCGGCCGGGACCUGUCAGCUAAGGAUGCACAGGGAUUCAGAGCCCAUCUGUCUCUUUAAGAAAAUUAACACAGUCUACAGCACAUCCUGGAAGCACUGGUGAGUUCUUUAGGAUUCUCUGGGUUCGGGGCUGCCCAGGUCUGGCCCCUGCCUCUGCCCAGUGCCCGGUCCCCAGGGCAGCGCCUACCAAGGCUCCACUGCUGAGUAGGAUCAUGAAGACGAU